rnacentral:rRNA from 1 species
CCUACGGGGGGCAUCAGUGGGGAAUAUUGGACAAUGGGGGGAACCCUGAUCCAGCCAUGCCGCGUGUGUGAAGAAGGCCCUCGGGUUGUAAGGCACUUUCAGUGAGGAAGAACGCCUGGUGGUUAAUACCCAUCAGGAAAGACAUCACUCACAGAAGAAGCACCGGCUAACUCCGUGCCAGCAGCCGCGGUAAUACGGAGGGUGCGAGCGUUAAUCGGAAUUACUGGGCGUAAAGCGCGCGUAGGUGGCUUGAUAAGCCGGUUGUGAAAGCCCCGGGCUCAACCUGGGAACGGCAUCCGGAACUGUCAAGCUAGAGUGCAGGAGAGGAAGGUAGAAUUCCCGGUGUAGCGGUGAAAUGCGUAGAGAUCGGGAGGAAUACCAGUGGCGAAGGCGGCCUUCUGGACUGACACUGACACUGAGGUGCGAAAGCGUGGGUAGCAAACAGGAUUAGAUACCCUGGUAGUC